rnacentral:rRNA from 1 species
UACGGAGGGUGCAAGCGUUAUCCGGAUUCACUGGGUUUAAAGGGUGCGUAGGGGGGCAGGUAAGUCAGUGGUGAAAUCCCCGAGCUUAACUUGGGAACUGCCGUUGAUACUAUCUGUCUUGAAUAUUGUGGAGGUGAGCGGAAUAUGUCAUGUAGCGGUGAAAUGCUUAGAUAUGACAUAGAACACCAAUUGCGAAGGCAGCUCGCUACACAUAUAUUGACUCUGAGGCACGAAAGCGUGGGGAUCAAACAGG